rnacentral:rRNA from 1 species
UACGUAGGGCGCAAGCGUUGUCCGGAAUUAUUGGGCGUAAAGAGCUCGUAGGCGGCUUGUCGCGUCGAAUGUGAAAUCUCAGAGCUCAACUCUGACAUUGCAUUCGAUACGGGCAGGCUAGAGUUCGGUAGGGGAGACUGGAAUUCCUGGUGUAGCGGUGAAAUGCGCAGAUAUCAGGAGGAACACCGAUGGCGAAGGCAGGUCUCUGGGCCGAUACUGACGCUGAGGAGCGAAAGCGUGGGGAGCGAACAGG